UACGGGGGGGGCAAGCGUUGUUCGGAAUUACUGGGCGUAAAGGGCUCGUAGGCGGCCUGCUAAGUCGGAUGUGAAAUCCCCAGGCUUAACCUGGGAACUGCAUCCGAUACUGGAUGGCUUGAAUCCGGGAGAGGGAUGCAGAAUUCCAGGUGUAGCGGUGAAAUGCGUAGAUAUCUGGAGGAAUACCGGUGGCGAAGGCGGCAUCCUGGACCGGCAUUGACGCUGAGGAGCGAAAGCUAGGGGAGCAAACGGG
rnacentral:rRNA from 1 species